UAUUGCAGACUGGCCUAAUCAUACAAACCUACUUAGAAGAAACACAGGGUCCAUUUCCCUCCUCUGGCCAGAACCAUAGGGCCUGUCAGAAGAGCUGCCUUCCAGAAUUGGGAAAGCACAGGGACAAAGCACCAGAGCUUUAAGCUGCUACUGGUUAAAAGGACACUCACAGAAAUAGCUAUUAUUUACAAGUAAUGACACCCAGAAAAUGAACAGAAGUAGCUGAAGAGAAAGCCGGAAGAAGUCCUAAAUCUGAGGCUGAAAGAGACUUGGGAAGUCAUCUAGUCCAAUGCCCUCAUUUUAUAGAAGCACUGGAGGUGAUUUGCUCAAGACCACACAGGUGGGAUCUGAAUUCACUUUCUUUCAUUCCAAAACCAGGGCUCUUUCCACUAUACCACCUACCUCUAAAAGAGGAGGGAGAGGAGAGGAGGAGGGGAGUAGAAGGUGAUAUCCCAAACAGAAAACCAAAAAAUCAAAUGCAGGAAAAGGAAAUUAUGGCAAUUCUACCUCCACCCCCAGAGUUGGAGACAUGUCACAACUGAGAAGCUAAUCAGAGAAGAAAAGAAGAGGUAAAGGAAAAGGGAACUCAGAAGGGGCCUCGCCCAGCCCUGGGCUUGGUGGUGUCCAACCUGUGGAACUGUCUACUUGAGCUUCCCCACCAACCAUAACCACCUGAGGAGAGUCAGAAAGACCCAGGUAUGGACACUAAGAGCUGAUGAGGAGAGGGAGGAGUGACCCAAGGCUAUAUUGCUUCAAGGAAAACAAAGCAACGUGAUACACCUGGUGUGCUAGGAGGACAUGGAGUACAGUGAACAGAGCACCGGACAUGGAGUCAGGAGGACCUGAG